UUACCCAUUCUUUACAAUCUCUUUCAGAAGAUAGAAGCAGAGGGAAAAUUUCCUAACUCGUUCUAUGAGGCCAGCGUCACCCUAACACCAAAACCAGACAAAGAUGUUGCAAGAAAAGAAAACUACAGACCAAUAUCUCUCAUAAACACAGAUGUAAAAAUGCUUUAAAAAUUAGCAAAUGAAAUCCAACAAUGUAUAAAUUAUAUACCAUGACCAAGUGUAAUUUAUCGAAGGCAUGCAAGUUGGAGUCAGCAUUCAAAAAUCAGUUAAUGUAAAUGUAAUGUAAAAGUAAUGUAAAGUUAAUGUAAAACCUAUCACAUCAACAGACUAAAGAAGAAAAAUCACAUGGUCAUCUCAAUAAAUGCAGAAAAAGAAUUUGACAAAAUUCAAUGCCCACUUAUAGUUAAAAAAACACAAAAAACAAAAAACCACUCAGUGAACUAGGAAUAGAGGAGAACUUCCUCAACUUGAUAAAGAAUAUCUGUAAGAAACCUAUAGCGAACGUCACACUUACUGGUGAGAGACUCGGAGCUUUUUUACCACUAAGAUCAGGAGCAAGUCAAGGAUGUUCCCUCUCACCAUGCCUUUCAACACUGUACUGAAAGUCCUAGCUAAUACAGCAAGACAAGAAGAGGAAAUACAAGGUAUACAGAUGGAAAGGAAUAAGUAAAACUGUCUUUGUUCACAGAUGACAUGAUUGUCAAUCUAGAAAAUCAAAAUGAAUCAACCAAAAACUGUUGGAUCUAACAAGCAAUUACAGCAAGGUUGCAGGAUUUAAGGUUCAUGUAUAAAGGUCAAUUGCUUUCCUAUACACCAGCAAUAAACAAGUGGAAUUUGAAAUUAAAAACACAAUAUCAUUUGUACCAGCACACCCAAAAGAUGAAAUACUUAAGAGAUAAAUCUAACAAAAUAUUUACAAGCAUUAUUUGAGAAAAACUACAAAAUGCUGAUGAAAGAAAUCAAAGAACUAAAUAAAUGAAGAAUAUUCUAUGUUCAUAGAUAGGAAGACUCAAUUAUUGUCAAGAUGUCAGUUCUUCCCAACUGGUUCUAUCGAUUUCAUACAAUGUCCAUCCCAGCAAGUUACUUUGUGUAAAUCAUGAUACACACUGAUUCUAAAAUUUAUAUGCAGAGGCAAAAGACCCAUAAUAGCCAAUCCAGUAUUGAAGGAGAAAAACAAAGUUGGGUGACUGACACCACCCAACUUCAAGACUUACUAUAAAGUUAUCAAGAUGAUGUGGUAUUGGCAAAAUAAUAGACAAAUAGAUCAAUGGAACAGAAUAGAGAGACCAGAAGUAGACCCACAUAAGUAUAACUGAUGGAUCUUUGGCAAAGGAGUGAAGUCAAUACUAUGGAGAAAAGAGAGUCUUUUCAACACAUGGUGCUGGAACAACUGGACAUGCACAUACAACAAAGUGAAUCUGGACACACACUUUACACCACCCACAAGAAGUAAUACAGUGGACCACAGACCUAAACAUAAGAUGUGAAACUGGGAAACUCCUAGAAUAACACAGAAGAAAAUUGAGAUGACUAGGUUUUGCAAUGGCUUUUAGAUACAAGACCAAAGCCACUAUCCAUGAAAGAAAGAAUUGAUAAGCCAGGCUUCAUUAAAAUUAAGCAUUUCUGCUGCGUGAAAGACACUGUCAUGAGAAUGAGAAGGUAAGCUACACACUGGGAAAAAAACAUUUGCAAAAGACAUAUCUGUUAAGGAAUUGGUGUUCCAAAUUUACAAAGAACUCUUAAAACUCAACAGUAAGAAAAAGAAACUGGGCUGGCAUGGUGGCUCCCACCUGUAAUCCCAGCACUUUGGAGGCUGAGGCGGGCAGAUCACCUGAGGUCAGGGGUUCGAGACCAGCCUGGCCAACAUGGUGAAACCCCAUUGCUACGAAAAAUACAAAAUUAGCCGGCUAUGGUGGCGGCUGCCUGUAAUCCCAGCUACUCAGGAGGCUGAGGCAGGAGAAUCACUUGAACCCAGGAGGCAGAGGUUGCAGUGAGCCGAGAUUGCGUCAUUGCACUCCAGCCUAGGCGACAAGAGCGAAACUCCAUCUCAAAAAAAAAAAAAAAGAAAAAAGAAAAAAA
rnacentral:lncRNA from 1 species